CCUACGGGUGGCAGCAGUAGGGAAUAUUGCUCAAUGGGGGAAACCCUGAAGCAGCAACGCCGCGUGGGGGAUGAAGGUUCUCGGAUUGUAAACUCCCUUUGUUAGAGAAGGAAAUGACGGUAUCUAACGAAUAAGCACCGGCUAACUCCGUGCCAGCAGCCGCGGUAAUAAGGAGGGUGGAAGCGUUACUCGGGAUCACUGGGCGUAAAGGGCGCGUAGGCGGGAUAGCAAGUCAGGUGUGAAAACCUAUGGGUUAACCAUAGAACCGCAUUUGAAACUGUUAUUCUUGAGUAUGGGAGAGGUAGGUGGAAUUCGUGGUGUAGGGGUAAAAUCCGUAGAGAUCAAGAGGAAUACUCAUUGCGAAGGCGACCUGCUGGAACUUAACUGACGCUGAGGCGCGAAAGCGUGGGGAGCAAACAGGAUUAGAUACCCCAGUAGUC
rnacentral:rRNA from 1 species